rnacentral:lncRNA from 1 species
CUGACACAGAGGAAGUGUCAAUAAGUAAUUGCUGAGUGAACCAAUGGUGACUGAGAGAAAGACAGAAAAAAGCAGAGGAAUGCCCAGAUUUAAUGUAAAGUCGGAGGUGGAAGAGUAAACAAAGAUGCUAGAGAGGUCUGGCCAGGAGGUGAAGUUCUUAAUCCUAAGUACUGAUGAUGUGUAGCUUAGUAGGUGGUAGCAAUUUUAAGAAGAAGCACCUUCCGGGGUGAUUCAUAAAAAGUCAGAAUAACCCCAGGAUAAGACACUGGAGAUGGAGAGGAGCAUACGUUUGAGACUUGAGAGGGAUCCCGAGGUUAAGAAGCUUGGAAACUUUUUGAGAACUAAAAGAAGAUAGAUAAGCACCAGAAGAAGCUACCCCACAAAUUUAGUGGGAUGUGUCUCGGUGGCAUUCCAUCAGCAUCACAUAUGGAAACUGCAGUCCCUGCCUCUGCGUUUAUUCACGUGCUGGGUCAGUCAAGCUGCUAAAAUGAAAGCAAAUAAGAAAAAUAGGAAAUAACAUGAGUCAGGAAACAAAGAAAAGUAGGUAACAUUUUUCAAGUGCCUGUAUGUGCCAGGCUUUUUCAUGUACUCCAGUGUAGGCUCUGGAGUCACCGGGUUGAAAUGGAGUCUUUGCCCUUUAGUUUUUUUUGUGGAACAAAAAACCUUAAAAGGCCUAUAAUUGAGAACUUAAUAUAGUCAAUGUCCUAGGCCAGGAGUUUUCUAUGAAGGGUAAUAUUAAUAUAGUAGAUAGCAACUGUCUUCAAGGAAAACAAAUCUGUAAUUUGCGCUUACUAUGGCCAUAUACUUUGUUAGGAGCUUGCUGCAAAGAAAUACACAUGUACAGUCGAUCCUCAUUAUUCACAGAUUCACUAUUGUGAAUUUGCAUACUUUCUAGAAUUUAUUUGUGGCUUCAAGAUCAAUACUUGCUGCACUUGCCCAGUCAUUCGCGGACAUGCACAGAGCAGGGAAAAAUCUGAGUUGCCCGACUGGCGUGUUUCCAGCUGAGGUGGAACAAGACAAUACUCUGCCUUCUUGUUUAAGCUCUCACACUGUAAGCAAGUGUCCUUUUCUCUGUCUGUUUAGUGACACAUCUUUUGCAUUUUUGUUAGUGAUUCCACUGUUUAAAAUGGCCCCCAGUGUAGGGCUGCAGUGCUGUCUAGCAGAAGUUCUUGAGUGCAAGAAGGCUGUGAUGAUGUGCCUUAAGGAGAAAAUGUGUGUAUUAGAGAAGCUUUGUCCAGGCAUGUGUUAUUGUGCUGUUGUCUGUGAGUUCAAGUUAGUGAAUAAACAAUAUGUAUUGAAUAAGGGAUCUUUAAACUGAAGCACACAUAAAACAAGUUCCGUGUUGAUCAGUUGGUAAAAAUGUUGUGACCAGAAACUCACAAGAUCCUAAUCUUGUAAAUACCCCAGGAGCAGUUACGGUGUUCAUUAAUUCAGUGUUCACAGUGACUUCAUGGAACACAACUACUUCAAAUAAUGAGAAUUGACUCGUGUGUAUGUGUGUGUACACACACACGUAUACAU